rnacentral:rRNA from 1 species
CGUAGGUAACCUGCCUGGUAGCGGGGGAUAACUAUUGGAAACGAUAGCUAAUACCGCAUAACAGUCGACAUUGCAUGAUGUUGAUUUGAAAGGGGCAAUUGCUCCACUACCAGAUGGGCCUGCGUUGUAUUAGCUAGUUGGUGAGGUAACGGCUCACCAGGGCGACGAUACAUAGCCGACCUGAGAGGGUGAUCGGCCACACUGGGACUGAGACACGGCCCAG